UUACAGAAAGCGUGUGUGUG
rnacentral:miRNA from 1 species